CCUACGGGAGGCAGCAGUGAGGAAUAUUGGUCAAUGGUCGGGAGACUGAACCAGCCAAGCCGCGUGAGGGAUGAAGGUACAGAGUAUCGUAAACCUCUUUUGUCAGGGAACAAAGGCGGGGACGUGUCCCCGGAUGAGUGUACCUGAAGAAAAAGCAUCGGCUAACUCCGUGCCAGCAGCCGCGGUAAUACGGAGGAUGCGAGCGUUAUCCGGAUUUAUUGGGUUUAAAGGGUGCGCAGGCGGUAUGUAAAGUCAGCGGUAAAAGCCCGGGGCUCAACCCCGGCCCGCCGUUGAAACUGGCAGUCUCGAGUUGGCGAGAAGUACGCGGAAUGCGUGGUGUAGCGGUGAAAUGCAUAGAUAUCGCGCAGAACUCCGAUUGCGAAGGCAGCAUGCCGGCUCCACACUGACGCUGAGGCACGAAAGCGUGGGUAUCGAACAGGAUUAGAUACCCUAGUAGUC
rnacentral:rRNA from 1 species